GUCGCGAUGCCAGAGCGGUUAAUGGGUUAGACUUGAAAUCUAAUGGCUUCGGCCGCGUAGGUUCAAGUCCUGCUCGUGACG
rnacentral:tRNA from 1 species